UCGCGCAGCAGCCACAAGGAUACUGCACUCGUUUCUGUUUCGUCUGUGUGUGGCAAUGUCCAAAAACUCUGUAGACGUCGUUCCAAAGGAUCAUUUGGACAGUGAACUGACAAUAAUUGAGGUGGAGAAAUAUUCCUGUCUCUAAAACAUAAAAUCGCAAGAUUAUAAUGAUCGUCUGCUGACGACAGAAGCAUGGAAGAAGGUUUGUGCAGAUGAUGUUGGGGCUGAGAAGUGAAACUCGUUAUCACUGGAUGCACAAAAUGUAAUAGGAAAAGUACAAAAACGGUGGAAAAACAUGCGAGAAAUACAGUGGAAGCCUGAAAGAAUUAACAAACAAAUAAAAAGAGUGGCAGAGCAACGGCUACUAAAAAAACAUAUGACGACUACAGACGGAUGUCUUUCCUGCAAAAAGCCACGGAAUUGAAGCAGACCUCAGAAAAUAUGAAUGAUGCCUCUAUUCCUGAGGAUGAUGAAGCGGAAAAGCAUCAUGAAGACAGUGCACCGCCACCUAGCACUGCUGCUAAGCCUUCCUCUGCUAGAGCAAAUAAAAGGAAACUUCAGAACCCAUUUGAAAGAAAGUUGAUAGAGUAUUGGCGCACAGUUCAACUUGUGCUGUACCACAAAAUGAUCCUGUUGACUUGUUUUUGACCUUUCUUUUGCCUUACUUAAGAGUAAUGACUACCGACGAGAAUCUAGACUUUCAAACCAAAACACUACAAUUAACAAAAUCUUACAGCCGAAAGACUGUAGAGAGCAGCACUGCUACUGACUACUCCAUAAAUACUGCGUCGUCAAGUAUGUCGACAUCGACAAGCACACAAAGCCCUAAACUUGAGAGUCCAAUAACUUAGUAUUCACCAGAUACAGGAAUGACGGAUGAAGACUCGAUCUUGUCAUUUGAAGAAUGUAAAAAGUGAUUUGGCAGCACACAUGAGCUUGUAUGUAAACUCUUUCAUUCUAACCUAGUUUAUGUUAACGUUAAGUAUAUGUUC